UACGUAGGGUGCGAGCGUUGUCCGGAAUUACUGGGCGUAAAGAGCUCGUAGGUGGUUUGUCGCGUUGUUCGUGAAAACUCACAGCUCAACUGUGGGCGUGCGGGCGAUACGGGCAGACUAGAGUACUGCAGGGGAGACUGGAAUUCCUGGUGUAGCGGUGGAAUGCGCAGAUAUCAGGAAGAACACCCGUGGCUAAGGCGGUUCUCUAGUACGGUACUGACGCUGAGACGCGAAAGCGUGGGGAGCGAACAGG
rnacentral:rRNA from 1 species